UCAAACCCGUGACCUGGUGACUCAGUGAGACAGUUCUCACCACUGCACCAGGCCUGCCUUCUCAAUUGAUGAUUGUUAACAAAUAAAUUAUUUAUUCGAAUAGCAGACUACUAUAUAGCCUUUGCUUAUUUAUCUUGUCUACUUUAGAUGUGUCUUAUUUUUCAUUUUGUCCUUCAUAUAAAUGCAUGUCUUAUUUGUCAGAUGGUAUAUGCUUUCGCCUAGAAGCAGGCUUUUUAAAUGGACUUUUAGAGGCUGGUGCCAGUGCCACAGAAAGUUCAGGUUUUUCCAAUUGUCAACUAGGAAAUGACGUCUCUUCAGAAUAACAACAAUUGAUAUUCUGGAGAAGAUGUUCCUUCCAUAAAGUGGUCCAUGGCAUGCGAAUAAUGAGUUUGUUUCUGCUGCUCUCAAAAAGUUGCCAGAAAAUGAACACAGCAGGCAAUUGCACCGUGCUACCAAUGAUGUGUUAUCCAAGCUUCACGUGGUGAUGCGUGCAGUAGAUAAUCUUCACUUGAAACACAUGCAGUUAGCAGGGAACUAU